rnacentral:rRNA from 1 species
CACGGUAGGGACGAGCGUUGUCCGGAUUCAUUGGGCGUAAAGCGCGCGUAGGCGGCUCGGAAAGUCGGGCGUGAAAUGCCGGGGCUCAACCCCGGGACUGCGUCCGAUACUUCCGAGCUGGAGGUAGGUAGGGGAGAUCGGAAUUCCGGGUGUAGCGGUGGAAUGCGUUAGAGAUCCGGAAGAACGACCGGAGGCGAAGGACGGCUU